ensembl:lncRNA
CAGCAGCCUCGUGAUGGAAACCCAUUUCAUGAAGCUCCCGACGAACAGUUCUUGUGCUGACAUUGCUUCCGGAGGCAGUUUGGAACUCGGCAGUGAGUGUUGCAACAGCACUUACAGUUGACCGGGGCAGCUCUAGCAGAGCAGAAAUCUGAUGAACUGACUAGUUGGAAAGAUUGCAUCCUAUGACGGUGCCACGUUGAAAGUCACUGAGCUCCUCAGGAGACCUGAUUGGCUGACCUCGACCUUGCUUGGAGCCAUGUGACUGGAUCACACGAAGAAGCCUGCUGCAGAGCUCAUUUUAAGACAUCAGUUCAAUGGUGUUUGGUGUGUUUUUUUUAGUUUCUGCCUGGUUGUUCCGGCUGUUCUGCUUCCUCCUCCCUCCGCUAGUGGGAUGGCCACCCUACGGCAAGGCUUCCCGUGGCUGGGUUGAGGGCUUGCCGAGGCCUUUCCUCUGGCCGGCCAGCCAGUCACGUGAUGGACUAAAAGGAGAGAGGCCUGACGAGGCUGACGCGUUCUGAUGGAGUGAGGCCUUAUCACACGGACGGCCAUAUUGGAAGUGGAGGGUGCAGAUGGGACAGGGGUCGAUCAGAAAUCACUACAUAGAGAUAUGGACCUAUAGGACUGAUGGCUGACCCUGAGACUCAGAGUAAUGGGCUGCAGCUUGACUUCUGGGUUGUUUCAUUCAUCCACCAAACUACCCACUGACCCGGAGGACAUUUUGAGACAUUCAUUGCAAUGGACCCAUUUUUUUCAUUCUGUUUUUUUUUUUUUUUUGGGGGGGUCGUUGUUUGGGCCAGAGGAGGGGUGACUGAAAGGGGAGCGACUGGUUUUCGUUGUCUCCAUCCCUCUCCACCACUCUGGGCUUUCUAUGCAAGCCGAAGCUGCUCUUCUCCUUAAUACUGACAGAGACAGCCCUCCUCUUCCUCUGUUCAGUUUCAGGAGGAGAAACAUUCAAGUUCACGCUCUGUUGAAUCUGUAGUUGUUUUGUGUGAAAAGUUAUCAAUUGCCUACUUGAGUUCAUUCAGAGAGUCAAACUAUCCGUGUUUGUUGUUUUGUUGCUUUUUAUUUGUACAAGGCUUUUUAUUGUCGUGCGUUGUUCGUUCCACAGCAUUAGUCUCGUCACUAUUCAUGUUUUUGUAUUAUUUUAGCAGUUUAUUUGAAUUGUUUUUUUCUUUGUCUUGUUGGCUUGACGACCAUGUUUCCAUCUCACUCUCACCCAGUGGUAAAACAAACUCCUUAGGCUGUUUGUCCCUGUGUUGAACGCUACUGGCCUUUCUGUGGUGGCGGUGACAGCUGUCUCCUGGUUUCCUUUCCCAAAGGGUCAUGCAGCUUACAAAGUAGCUCCAAUGCAUCUGCUCCAGAUCCCAGCUGCUCAGCAAGGGCCCCGGCUUAAAGGGAGAGGACAUAUUUGUGCCUGGAGGUACUUUGGCUUAGAGAGAAGAGGAACGGAGAGGAGCAGAGAUGUACCAUCCUGGUGCUUUCCAAGCUGUGACCUGGCAGGUUGCACUAAUCAGAGGAGCUGCCUAGACUCUUCAGAUGCUGCCUCUAGUUCCAUCCAGCCGUCCAUCUUCACUGGGCACUGCAGAGGCUGGAGGGGGAGAGGGGUUCUCAGACAGGCAGGCAGGCAGGCAGGCAGCCCAGGUCGUAAAGUGCACAAGGCUUUUGUUUUGUCUGUUUAUGCACACUGUCUGGGACCUACAUGGCUAUAUGAGAACGGUCUGCAAGCCACAGUCUGGCUGUCGCUAGUCUCUCACCGAACUGCAUCAUGGGUUAUCUGCAGUUCUCCCUCAUCAAUGGACGUGUAAGAACACAAAGGGGAAACUCUCUAGAGCUGUCAGAGGAUGCUCAGUAGAUAUGACUGCACUCACUCUCCCUCUGUUCUGGCCUGUAGUGAUGGAGAGACGGGCAGCUCUCUCCCUCUGUUCUGGCCUGAAUUGAAGGAGAGACGGGCAGCUCUCUCCCUCUGUUCUGGCCUGUAGUGAUGGAGAGACGGGCAGCUCUCUCCUGUAAUAUUUAUUCUAGGACUUCUAGUUGUGGAGUGCUGUGUUACUGGGAGUUGGCACAUGCCCCUGUUAAUUUUUUGGUGAAUGAGCGCAAUUGCAAAAUGGAGUCUCUCCUGCAGGCCCACCUCCUCUCACCUCCCUCUCCUUUCCAACUAUCUCUGUCUGUGUGUGGCUGCAUGGUGUAAACAUUAGCCCCGCACAAUGUCCUUCCUAGUGGAUCAAGUCAGAUGCAAAUUUGCUUUGGGACACUGUCCCCAUCUCUGCCCCUCUCACUGUGGUUUCUGUUUAUAGUGUACAGAGGAAUUAGUUUUUUUGUUGGACGCUAUUGGAAAAUGUCCUACGCUUUCUGUCUUGUUAGCCUCCCCCCUUUCCGUUGUUGAUACAAUAUGAUAAACUGUGGAGUCCACCCCUUCAGUAGCCUCUGUUGUUAUUAACCCCUCCACCAGUAGCCUGUAUCCCCACUCUUGAAGCCCAUGAUGCCAUUUUAGUCCCCUCGUCACACACGUUCCCAAGCCGCCUCGACCUCAAGGAAAACAAGUCACAUUUCAACCUUGUCAUUUUAACCCUCACUUAUUUGUUGCUCUUGUUUUUGUUUGUUUUUGGUUCCAUGAGAUACUGCUCAUGAAUGCUUUGUGUUGUUAUUACUACCUGCCGGGAUAGACGAAGGUUGAGGGCCGAGCAGCUGCCCACAGAGGAGUGAUAGAGAGGUAUCACCGCGUCCACUCUUCUCCUGCUAAUGAUCCCCAUUAAUCCUGCCGCAGCCGCACAGCGCCCACUCAACCGCUUGUCUGUAAAUCAGUAAAUCUGAUUCGCCGUGAUGCUUUCCUUGCCCUUCAAGGAUCUGGCGUGCUUGGGAGAGCAGCACAGGAAAUCUGAACUAAUAAAUUAAAUUUUUUUGUGUGCGUGUGUGUGUUUUAUACAUAAAUGUGAUUUAGCGAAGCCGAUGGGAAUGACACGUUUGUUGUGGCAGCGGCGGUGAAACAGACCUCAAACAGACCAAAGUGGCGUUUCAUUCACCAAGAGAUCAGGCCAACGCUAUCAUGAACAAUUAAAUAGGCCGUGCUCAGAGCACUGCCCCCUGUAGGAGAGUCCAUUCAUUCCAGUAAUACUCUAAUAGUUCUCCUAAUCAGACACGUUCCAGUUGAAUUCCCCUGCUCAACACUAACAUAAGAGGCCUGUAGGAUCCAUAAUGAUCCAGUCACUAGAGAAAGGGGGAUCUCCAUUCAAGUCAAUGUUCAAUGACGUCUGGAACACCAUUCUAUUGCUUCUAUUUCUAUGGUAGGCUCAUCGAGGUUGACUUUGGUUCUGUCCUGUAGUGAUGUCAGUUCAUAUGUUACUGUUGUAUGAAUGUUGUUGACAGGUGACCUGGUUGAUAAGCCCUACUCUCACCACAAUACUGUUGAUGCUCAGCCUUGAUUGGAUGCUGGCACAGAUUAUAUUUCCCCCCCCCCCUGUCCUUUUCUCUGAAGUGGAGGGUUUAGGUUUUGUUUGGAAAUAUGUCUUGUCAUACAAUGGGAGAAGAGCCCGUGUUAGAAGAGCCCAUGCUUUUAACACGUUCUGUAUGGAGUGAGAUGGGAGGUGAGGUCAGAACCAGAUUAUAUAUUAAUAGUCAUUUAACGGGUCUGUUAAACCAGGACCUCUGCUGGUGAAAAAUGUUUUGUUUUUUUACGAUACGUGGAAAAAAGUGCUUGAUACAUUUUUUUUUGAGGAUCGAGUUUGGGGAUUUUUUUUUAUUUUUUUAAUACAGACAGAGAAAUUAGAUAAUGAUCAUACUCCCACAGCAGCCGUUGUUGAGAUGUUGUCUCACUGUGCUUGGGUAGUCUGUCAUUCCUUGUGUUACUCACGCCGCGGGAGGACAAUGUUCUUGUGGGAUUUCCUUUUCCUGUUUCUUUAUUCAUAAGCCCGCCCCCUAAACCCACACCCCUAAACCCUAAACCCCCCCUAAACCCACGUCCCCAGAGCAGUGGCUCAGUAUCAGUCAUCGGUACUUGAGAGAAAGAUGUUUACAGCUUUUUUUAAUUGCUAUGUUUUGUUUUGGUUCAUCCCCCUCUUUGCCCCUCCCCCUUACCCCCCCAAGGGUUUCUCUCUUAUGUAAAGUGUACAUUGCCACAUGUCUUUUUUUAUACAAUGCUGUAACUUGCCUUUGUACAUUUAGGCGAAAAAAUAAAUCUUUUUAUGAGACAAUCA